rnacentral:lncRNA from 1 species
CUAGAGGAAGGACAUUGUGUCUUCACAGUACCCUUAUUCUUAAAGGAGUGCUCAACGGGACUGUCUCCGGUCAUCUUCUCUGACAUCUUCUUCUCCUUCUCCUUCUAGAUCUCCACCUGAUGCCUCCCCAAAGGGCAUCCACCAGGCGAUCCAUGGCCUCCGUGGCUAGAUCUCAGCGAGCUUCGCAAGCUCCGGCUUCGUCUCUAAUUUUUCAGGCUCCUCCUCCUCCGACAACGACAGUCGGCAUGGAGCAGUUUGACCUACUGGUUCAGUAGGUCAGAGGCCUCACCGAAGCAGUGCAGGCCAUGCAGCAGUAGCAGCAACAACCGUAGGUGUCAGUGCGGAUGGAAAGAGCAUCAUCGGAGUUCCAGAAUCCGAUAAUAGGGUGGGUCACAUGGGUCAGUCACCCUGUCUUCCCCGAAAAGGGGAAGCUGAGGGUGGAGAGCCCUCAGUCUGAUCAUGAUUCCACCCCCGGAGGAUUCCUACCUCCAUUCUACCAGAAGACCCUCGAGACUCACAGUCGAGAGGACCUCCUGGAUCAAAGACUCCAGGAGAUGAACCGA